AGAACUUUGUGGUAGAAGGCAAAUGGUUGAGACCACGGACUUCAGCUCUAGGUGCUGGCAUCACACUCCAGAGGCCCGAUGAGCCCCACUGCAUCUCAGCAGAUUAGCUGGUGUUCGGCUGGUCUAUGUUGGACUCAGCUGAACUUUGUUCCAGGCUGCAGCUUGGGUUCAAAUCUAUUCCAUGUAUCUCUCAUCUUCCUGCCACCAGUAAGCUACCCAGGACAUGUGCUCUUCAUGGUAAUGACUUUCAUGGUAAUGGCAGCCAACAUAUGUCUUGGUAUGUGUUGAGAAAAUACGUUCACAUAAAUAGAUGGUAAUGGAAGCUGUUUCAUUUUAGCAAGGUUUCUCAGUUCUUUGAACCUCAGGUGCCAAUCUUAAAAGAAAAAAGAGUAGUUUGAACUUGAAGUAAACAGAAGAAAAGAAAUAUUAAUGACCAGAGUAGAAAUUAAUGAAAUAGUAGACAAAAGACAACAAGGAAAAUCAAUGAAACCAAAAACUGAUUCUUUGAGAAAAAUCUAUACAGAUGUUAAGCAAAAAAAGAGAGAAGACCCAAAUUACCAAUAUCAGGAAUGAGAGAGGUGACAUCACUACAGUUUUUACAGAUAUUAAAAGGAUAAUAUGUAAUGAAUAUUAUGAACAACUUAAUGCCAAUAAAUUUAACAACUGAGGUGAAAUGGACAAAUUUCUUGAAAGACACAAACUAUCAGAGCUCUAAGAGGAAAUAACAACCUGCAUAAACUUAGGUCUAUGAAAAGUUUUGAAUUUGUAGUUAAAAUCCCUCCCACAAAGAAAAUGGUGUCAGUAGCCAGAUCACCUUGGUGAGGGCAAGUCUGUGUUGUUGAGCCCAUGCGCAGUCUCCUUCCCUGUCACCAUGGCCACCUUGUAAAUGGGUCUGUUGACCAAGUGCCACAGUAUCUGAUGAAGAGGCCACCUGAUGUCCAUAGGUCGGGUCAUCUUGUCCUCCUGAUUACUGAGAGUCUCGUCUACAACAGAUGCUCUUGGAUAAGCAGUUAUGUGGGACGUGAAUAUCUUUACACUAUAUAUGUUGCAGGAAGUCCAUCUUUCCCCUAGACCUCCUUGUUGCCAAUCUUCUAAUCUUGUUCUUUCUAAAUUCCUGACCAG
rnacentral:lncRNA from 1 species